rnacentral:rRNA from 1 species
GAUGAACGCUGGCGGCGUGCCUAAUACAUGCAAGUCGAGCGAACAGACGAGGAGCUUGCUCCUCUGACGUUAGCGGCGGACGGGUGAGUAACACGUGGAUAACCUACCUAUAAGACUGGGAUAACUUCGGGAAACCGGAGCUAAUACCGGAUAAUAUAUUGAACCGCAUGGUUCAAUAGUGAAAGACGGUUUUGCUGUCACUUAUAGAUGGAUCCGCGCCGCAUUAGCUAGUUGGUAAGGUAACGGCUUACCAAGGCGACGAUGCGUAGCCGACCUGAGAGGGUGAUCGGGGACGCUGGAAGGGAGACGCGGGGCAGACGCCGACGGGAGGCAGCAGUAGGGAAUGGGGCGCAAUGGGCGAAAGGCUGACGGAGCAACGCGGCGUGAGUGAUGAAGGUCUUCGGAUCGUAAAACUCUGUUAUUAGGGAAGAACAAAUGUGGAAGUAACUAUGCACGUCUUGACGGUACCUAAUCAGAAAGCGACGGCUAGCUACGUG